AGCUCAUUCACCAACUUCUUCCUUAGCACACAGGAGACCUACAUUUUCUCUCAUACAAAGCUUCAUAUGUUGCUAUUCCAAUACUAAAGUGAUAGCUAUUAUUGUAUGCAAACUCAAUUAAAGGAACAUACUUCUUCUAUGAUCCUCCAAAGUCAAGUAUACACAUUCUUAGUAUAUCCUCCAAAGUUUGUAUGAUUCUUUUUGAAUUUCCAU
rnacentral:misc_RNA from 1 species